AUUGAACGCUGGCGGCAUGAUUUACACAUGCAAGUCGAACGGUAACAGGCCGCAAGGUGCUGACGAGUGGCGAACGGGUGAGUAAUGCAUCGGAACGUGCCCAGUCGUGGGGGAUAACUACUCGAAAGAGUAGCUAAUACCGCAUACGAUCUAUGGAUGAAAGCGGGGGACCGUAAGGCCUCGCGCGAUUGGAGCGGCCGAUGUCAGAUUAGGUAGUUGGUGGGGUAAAGGCUCACCAAGCCAACGAUCUGUAGCUGGUCUGAGAGGACGACCAGCCACACUGGGACUGAGACACGGCCCAGACUCCUACGGGAGGCAGCAGUGGGGAAUUUUGGACAAUGGGCGCAAGCCUGAUCCAGCAAUGCCGCGUGCAGGAAGAAGGCCUUCGGGUUGUAAAAUGCUUUUGUACGGAACGAAACGGCUCUGGUUAAUACCCGGGGCUAAUGACGGUACCGUAAGAAUAAGCACCGGCUAACUACGUG
rnacentral:rRNA from 1 species